rnacentral:lncRNA from 1 species
AUGUGUGCACAUGGGGUGACCCAGGGGCCUCCUCGAAUGCAGCGUCUACGCCUGGGGAAUGGAAGCACUCUUACCAGUUCCGCCCUGGGAGGAUUCAUCGGUAACCUACUGAGCACAGAGGCCGGUGCGCACCCAUGGAAAAGCCCGCGCUCGCGAGUCCUCCUGGUGCCGGGGCCCCAGGGCAUUCAAGACCCGCCGACCGUGAGGCGGGUCAAGGGGUACACAGGGUGCGAGUUCGUUAGUCAAAAGCGGGGUGCGGGCGCGAGCCACAGGCACGGGAACCUCGCGCCGACCGGGGCCCUAGGCCCGACAACGGCAGGUAGGGGGAGUGGAGGCACACAUGGCUGGGACGUGCCCCAGGCACCAUCCGGUUGGCUUCCGGCGCGGGACGUCCGCAGUCCCGCAGCUUCCAGGACUCUAGACAAUCUGCGACUGAUCAGCUUCAGCAGACUGCAAAAUUCAAAAUGGGGAAGAAGGUAUAACAGCACUGGCAGAAGAGCUGGCUUUGAGAGGAUGAGGCGUGAUGGUUAUGGUGGAGGGUAUGGAGGCUAGGACGAUUACAAUGGCUAUAAUGAUGGCUAUGGAUUUGGGUUAGAUUUGGAAGAG